rnacentral:rRNA from 1 species
GUAGGGAAUAUUGGGCAAUGGAUGCAAGUCUGACCCAGCCAUCCCGCGUGCCGGAAGAAGGCCCUCAGGGUUGUAAACGGCUUUUGACGGUGAAGAAUCGACAGGAUGCGUCCUGUUUUGACGGUAGCCGUUGAAUAAGCACCGGCUAACUCCGUGCCAGCAGCCGCGGUAAUACGGAGGGUGCGAGCGUUGUCCGGAUUUAUUGGGUUUAAAGGGUGCGUAGGCUUGAAGGUCAGUCAGCGGUGAAAAGCUGUCGCUUAACGAUAGUCUUGCCGCAGAUACUUCCUUUCUUGGAUGAGGAGGAGGCCACUGGAACGGAUGGUGUAGCGGUGAAAGGCAUAGAUAUCAUCCAGAACACCGAUUGCGAAGGCAGGUGGCUGUACCUUAAUCGACGCUGAUGCACGAAAGCAUGGGGAGCAAACAGGAUUAGAAACCCGAGUAGUCC